rnacentral:rRNA from 1 species
UCGAUGGAGAGUUUGAUCCUGGCUCAGGACGAACGCUGGCGGCGUGCUUCACACAUGCAAGUCGAACGGGGCCCAUCCGGUGGCAACACCGGUGAAGGCCUAGUGGCGAACGGGUGAGUAACACGUGAGGAACCUGCCCCGAAGACCGGGAUAACAGCGGGAAACCACUGCUAAUACCGGAUACCCCCGGCUGGCCGCAUGGCCGGCCGAGGAAAUGGGUUACCGCUUCGGGAGGGCCUCGCGGCCUAUCAGCUUGUUGGCGGGGUAACGGCCCACCAAGGCGACGACGGGUAGCUGGUCUGAGAGGACGACCAGCCACACUGGGACUGAGACACGGCCCAGACUCCUACGGGAGGCAGCAGUGGGGAAUCUUGCGCAAUGGGCGAAAGCCUGACGCAGCA